AAAGCUUUUGCUAUUCAACGCAGUACCGAUUUUGAUCGCCAGACAUGAAGAUGUAUUUCUCUGGCUACGCGCACGGAUUUGAGGAAAUAUACGGCAGUUUUUGAACGGAUUUGAUUGAUAACUUGAUUAGUUUUUAGUAUUCAUGGUACAUUAUCUGUGUUUUGAAAGAAGUGAAAUACUUGAAAACACCGCGUACUGCCAAAUCAGGCAAAUAUAUAUGUUUUUCUAGUUUUGAAGACAGUUUUUUAAAAAUAAACAAAAAGUGACGUAACUUUUACCCUGCGACAGAAGCUUUCGCCAGUGAGGAAAAUGAGAGCGUAAAAGAUACAGCAGUAAUGAGAGCAUUUUGAGAGAGCUCAUGUAAACAUCAAUUAUACAUACAUACAUAUAUUUGUUUUUAUUUACUUUGUUAUGUUUACAAACAAAUGGAAGUCACGUGUCUAACUGAACGGAAUGAAUCACAUUAAAUUGGAGGACUAAUACCAACAAUUCCCCUUACUUAAAAUAGUGAGAAAUACCGGGCGCUAUUACAAACCGGUCUACGUACAUACAUACAUUUUAAUUAUUGAGAAACCGUUAGAACUCGUUAAUUUUGAAAAUGUCUAAAAAGUGUGGCGUUCGGUCGUUGAGCGAUAGUGCCUUGGCCGAACUUGCCAACCAGAUUGUUUCUACGAUCGGCUACGCCAAGUAUGCUCCCGAUGUUGUGCUGGACAUCGACAUCGUGAUGGUCGACAUCAAUCAGUAUCUCGAGCAGACUGGCGCCACCUGGAACAUAUAUCAAGACCUGCUGCGGGUCAUACUCAGCUCCGACUACCUGGAUGCCAAUAUGCGUUUCACUUGUCUGCAAAUGCUGCUUAACGGCAGUGUAGCGUUUUUGGUCACCGAAGUCUUCCCCUUUUCGUAUUAUGAGAAGAUUCUGCAAGUGAUUGCCGCCCAGGGCACCGGUUUGCGCGUGCUCAACUUGAAGGGGGUGUGGGUCAAGGAGGAGCACAUGCAUUACCUCUUUGAAAUCGUGCGCAAAUGCAAGUAUUUGACCAAGUUGUUUGUACCAUAUAUUGCCAACGAUGAUCUGCUGGAGGUGAUCGCCAAACACUGCAGUCAACUGAAAGUGUUGGACAUAUCUGGUGAGACAGACAUCACCGAAAUCGGGAUAGAGUCUCUCAGUCACGGUAUGUGUAAUGAUAAGUUAACGGUCGUGGACGUUGGCAUGCCUGGCGAGGAGAAUAUCUGCUACUCAGAUAUUGCACUAAUAUUAGAGCACUGCCCCAAUGUGGAGACACUCUCCACCUACUCGUUUGUGGGCGCUUCGCUGAAGUUCGUGCAUGAUAAUAUUGACGAGAACUUUACUUGCAAGCUGCGCUAUUUACACGACACCGGCACAGACGAGGAGACGCUUCGUGUUAUUAUGAAAACUUGUCCGCACUUGGAAUCCCUAUACCUGGACACACCUAAGGCCGGAUCACUUUCGGUGCUGACGAGCACAUUUCUAAGAAAAUUGAAAGUCUACAAAUUUUCGUGCGCUGAAGUAAUGGAAGUGCUCGACAAAAUCGGCCACAAUCUCAGCCACCUGACCAUGAUAAAGGGCGUCGGCCACAUGGAGAUAAGCGAAAUAGUCCGUGCCUGUCCCUUGCUGGUCGACUUGGACUGCUACAUGAUGGAUGGACUCUCCUACACAAAGGACAGCAAUCGGUUUGAAUGCUUAGAGGGCUUGGAAAUGCUCAGCAGCCCCAUGUCCAACACUUCACUGAAGAUGCUCAUCUGCAGUUGCAGGCAGUUGAAACGGUUGGCCGUGGACAGCAUCAAUUUCACGGAUGAAGAUAUCAUUAAUAUUUUCGUGGAGCACGAUUUCUACGCAUUGGAGGAUGUCUGGUUCACAUUGGCGCCUAACUUGACCGUGCAAUCCAUUGAGAUCCUCAUGGACCGGUGUCCGGAAUUGCAGUCGGUGGGCCAGCUAAGUGGAUGGUCUCUGACUCCCGAUGACUUGGCGUUGAUACGAGGACUACUGAAGAGCGGCAACUCUUGCCUUGUACUUACACCUAGCGGGUUUUUCCCUUGAAAGCUGUGAUUUUAAGCCCUUCACAUUAACUCACUUACCCACAACAUAUCAACAAAAAGCAAGCAAAUACUCACCCAGUCGUUCACAUCCGUGAUUUAGCGAAAAUCUGCAGUCGCGGGAAACGUUUGCAGUGAAGUCUUUGGAAAACGAGCAACUUUUUGAUGCGACUACAUCGGAUCGGAUCGGAUGUAUCUAUAUACUUGUAUGUUCUUUGAAUUAUUUGAAAAUGUGAUAGUAAGAUAAAAUAAAUGUCCGUGUAGAUAAAAAGCGAACGAAACAUAUAAAAACAA